UAAAAUUAUGGGAAAAUAAGAGUAUACGUGAUACAAGCAGUCACCACUUAUGGAUCCACUUUAAAUUCUCAUCUAUGUGGAUAAACCUUGCCAGGAAGGUGCACUGCCAUCUACCAGCUGGGAUGCUGCCCGCAUGAGCCCAUGCCCAGCAGCCGCCCUCCAGGAUGUUUUCUGCUCUUUUGAAUAGCAGUAACUGGUUGUAGGCCUUCAUGGAAGGUGAAACCGCCUAGAGAACGACUACUUACUCAAAACACUCUGCACUAAAACGGAGCUCAGACACAUACUGGCACUUCUAAUUGGAGAGACCACACUUCAAGCUACGCGAGGAGGUAAUCCAAAUGCAGGAGCCCAACACCACUUGCCUUUAGGAUGGAAGGUAGUUUGCCUUUUAUAAAUAAAGUUCUGAUUGUAAAAGGCUUUGGUAGGCUGGGCACUGGUGGCCCAGGAGGGUAACCCUAGCUGCCCUGGAGCCUGAGGCAGGAGGACUACACCCUGGAGCCCAGCAAGGACAACUUGGUGAGACUUUCCCUCAAAAUGGAAAGGGCUGAAGGUAUGCGGCCUGCAGCUCCGUGCUAGAGUGCUUGCCCCGCACGUGUGGAGCGCUGGGUCCUCGCACUGAAAAGAGGACAGGGAGGCGGGAAAGAGAACCGAUAUGCUGGGGGGGGGGCGUGGCUUAGUGACAGAGCCUAAACUUCCCAUACUCGAGGUUCCAGGCUCAAUCCCUGGUACUACAGGUAAACUGAAGGCCUUCGAGGAGUUAUUGAUAGAGAAGAAGGUUUGAUUUUCAUGUAAGAAAAAGAGAAGCUAAAUUUUUCUAUCGAGCAAAUGCAAAGGAAGGUGCACUGGAGACGCCGAGAAGAGAUCCUGGCGGUGUCGCCGCCCGCGCGGGCAGUGGAGCAGCUGCAGACACAGAGCCCACCGCGCACAACCACCGCAGCCUCCCUGCCUGACCUUCGGGUGCCUCACAGUUCUGCAAAUGACGGUUCCAAGAAAGCUGGUGCAAGUGACCAAGCAAUGGCCGUGACUCAUCACAUGGCUGACAAAGGUUCUACAAUCUGAGGUGCAGGAUCUCAGGAA